GAUGAACGCUGGCGGCGUGCCUAAUACAUGCAAGUCGAGCGAACAGACGAGGAGCUUGCUCCUCUGACGUUAGCGGCGGACGGGUGAGUAACACGUGGAUAUCCUACCUAUAAUACUGGGAUAACUUCGGGAAACCGGAGCUAAUACCGGAUAAUAUAUUGAACCGCAUGGUUCAAUAGUGAAAGACGGUUUUGCUGUCACUUAUAGAUGGAUCCGCGCCGCAUUAGCUAGUUGGUAAGGUAACGGCUUACCAAGGCGACGAUGCGUAGCCGACCUGAGAGGGUGAUCGGCCACACUGGAACUGAGACACGGUCCAGACUCCUACGGGAGGCAGCAGUAGGGAAUAUUCCGCAAUGGGCGAAAGCCUGACGGAGCAACGCCGCGUGAGUGAUGAAGGUCUUCGGAUCGUAAAGCUCUGUUAUUAGGGAAGAACAAAUGUGGAAGUAAAUAUGCACGUCUUGACGGUACCUAAUCAGAAAGCCACGGCUAACUACGUG
rnacentral:rRNA from 1 species